AUGGUCUGCAUGAGUACCUGUCAAGACUUGGUCAUCCUGAUAUCCCUCUUCAUAUUAACAGAGGCCUCAAUAAAGCAAGACACAGAGGUUAAAGGUGUCUUCAGGAAGAGAUAAUAUAUGACUCACCAAGUAUCUCACUUCAACUGAGAGCAUGACUCAAGUAAACAUCAGCAUAAAGGUGCCUACUUCAACGUGUGAAUGGAUAAAGACAAAUCAUCUUUCAAUGGAAGAAUGGAUAAAGAAAAUGUGGUAUAUACAUUGUAUAUGUAUACAUACAACAGAACAUAACUCAGCCAUAGAAAAGAAGGAAACACUGUCAUAUUGUACCACAGGGAAGAAACUCGAAGCCAUCACGAGUGAAAUAAGUGAAAUAAGCCAGUCACAGAAGGAUAAAUAUUGCAUGAUUCCACUCAAACUUCCAGAAACAGAAAGUAGAAAAGUGGUUGCCAGAGGCUCCAGAGAGGAAAAAGUAGGAGAAUUACUGUUCAUUGGGUUAAGAUUUUUCAGUCACCGAAGAUGGAAAAUUUCUAGAGAUCUGCUAUACAAAUUGUGCUUAUAGUUAACAAUCAAACUGCUAAUACAGAUCUCAUAUGUCGUAUCUUUUUUUAUCACAGUAAAAAAUAUAUUCCUUUAUCUUAACAUUUUGGUGGCUACAUUUGAGAUGAUUUCUACAGAAGAACACAUUUUUAGAGUAGACAGGGAGAGUAUAAAGGAACUGUGAACUUUAAGGACUAAGAAAGCUUACUCUGAGCAGAAAAAAAAAGGUAAGAACUAGAAUAUCUAAUAGGAGGCCUUGGAAAUCAUUGCUACUUUUGCCA
rnacentral:lncRNA from 12 species